rnacentral:rRNA from 1 species
GUGCCAGCAGCCGCGGUAAUACGUAGGGAGCAAGCGUUGUUCGGAUUUACUGGGCGUAAAGGGCGCGUAGGCGGCAAAUUAAGUCAGCUGUGAAAUCUCCGAGCUUAACUCGGAACUGUCAGCUGAUACUGAUCUGCUAGAGUGCGGAAGGGGCAAUCGGAAUUCUUGGUGUAGCGGUGAAAUGCGUAGAUAUCAAGAGGAACACCUGAGGUGAAGACGGGUUGCUGGGCCGACACUGACGCUGAGUGCGCGAAAGCCAGGGGAGCAAACGGGAUUAGAAACCCGCGUAGUCC